rnacentral:tRNA from 1 species
AGGAACUUAGGAUCAGCAACCUCAAUCCAGAAGCCUUCAAAGCCUCAGACAAGAGACUAAACCUCUUAGUUUCUG